UGUGUACACACUGAAAAUACCAGAUGUGGUGCAGGGUUGUCAAAUAAUCCUCCAAGAAAAUGAGUACACAAAUAAAAUGUAACUCCUUUCAACGGUUUCAAGUAUACAGCAGGAACAGUGAACCCUGUACACAGUGCACACAAAAUACCACGUUCUGGUUUUACUGUACUGCCGAAAAAAAUCACUUAACACCACAGCCUCGAAAAAAUUGAUUUGUAUUCAUUGAUAUAUUACAUUAUUAAUCCGAUACGGACAGAAAUAAACUGUGGAAAAUCGCUGACGGGCUGGAGACUAGUUAACAUUAAUGCAGGCACAUCUGGAGAAACUAUAGGCCCUUGGUCAAACAACCCAUUGUUCAAGAAAUAUAUUAGUGUUAUUGCCGAGCCAAACUAGAAUCAAAGUCGCAGCCAACUUUCAGUGCCCCCGAAAGUCAGCCAAGGAAAUUGCCUGCCGCCUCGCCCCCCAUGCAAAGCGGGAAAAGCGCCUCGGGGGUGUCGGAAGUGACGGGAAACUUUCAUGGCCAGACCAGACCAGGCCCAGACUCGAGGAGAGGCCAGCACUGGACGCAGUCAACUGUCAGCCAGGAGUUGGGAGGCGGCCAAGGAGGAGACACAGAACACAGCCGCAACAUGGAAGAUCUCUGCAUGGGACGAAAGAAAGGAGAGGGCGAACUUCUUUGCUGAAGCCUUUUAUGGGUCUCCCCAGCUGGA